rnacentral:rRNA from 1 species
AUUGAACGCUGGCGGCAGGCCUAACACAUGCAAGUCGAGCGGAUGAAGGGAGCUUGCUCCUGGAUUCAGCGGCGGACGGGUGAGUAAUGCCUAGGAAUCUGCCUGGUAGUGGGGGAUAACGUCCGGAAACGGGCGCUAAUACCGCAUACGUCCUGAGGGAGAAAGUGGGGGAUCUUCGGACCUCACGCUAUCAGAUGAGCCUAGGUCGGAGUAGCUAGUUGGUGGGGUAAAGGCCUACCAAGGCGACGAUCCGUAACUGGUCUGAGAGGAUGAUCAGUCACACUGGAACUGAGACACGGUCCAGACUCCUACGGGAGGCAGCAGUGGGGAAUAUUGGACAAUGGGCGAAAGCCUGAUGCAGCAAUGCCGCGUGUGUGAAGAAGGUCUUCGGAUUGUAAAGCACUUUAAGUUGGGAGGAAGGGCAGUAAGUUAAUACCUUGCUGUUUUGACGUUACCAACAGAAUAAGCACCGGCUAACUUCGUG